GGUGGUUCUCCAGUGAAGCACCCUGGAACCAGAAAGGAGGGAGCCUGAUUCCGGGGUGCGUCACCCAAGAACCGCC
rfam:Myotis brandtii contig228416, whole genome shotgun sequence.